CCCAGACCCAAAUAAAAUUCGAUCCAAAUUCCCCAAUUAAACCAAAUGACCUCGUUUGGUAACCCUUAAUCCUAAUUCGUUAAUCAACUAAGAUCUAAUCGCUGGGAACUAAAAAUCAUAAAUAACAGUCCUAAAUCACCCUCAAUACACUCUCAUUUCACCCAUCUCCCUCAACAUCUCCUAACCUUAGCCACCCCUAAAAUUUUUCGCCGGAAAUCGCCCCACGACUGCGGCCACCAUCCAAACAACUCCAAAAUCACACCAUAUAAUCUGCAUGCCCUAUAAAACUUCACCCUACCAGUAGAUUUUCUAAAACCCCACCAAAUUUGGUGAAUCUUAGAUCUAGGAUUUCAGAAACCCUAGCCGCCGCCGUCGGAAGUCGCCUACGGCGGCGGUCAACUUCUAAUUACCUCAAAAUCAUACCCUGCAUUCCCCUCUUCACCCUCAACAUAGAUCCACCAUUAGCUUCCCCAAAAACCCCAUCUAAAUCCCUUAAUUUCAUAUUUGAAAACACCAAACCCUAUAUUUGCCCCCUUUUUAAAUUUUUCUUUUAAUCCACCCCUAACUAGUUUGUUUAAAAACCCUCCCGCCAAGAUCUCCCACCAGAGAUCUCAGAACCAGGUGGGUAUCUUGGCAAGAGAAUUUUUAACAACGGGAUCUUUUACCAAAAUAGCCAUUAGGUUUUUUUUUUCUUUUCUGUUGUUUUAUUUAUCUUUAUUAUCAUGUGUUUUAUCUUUAUUAAUUUUACGUUUAUUUUUAUUUUCAGUAUUACUAUUUUUAUUUGUUUACUGUUAUUAAGUAGAAAUUAUUGUUAUUAUGUUUUUAUUUGUUUACUAUUUUUACUUGGUAUUUGUUUAGGAGUUGGGGUUCACUGAUUAGCUCGUUUAACUAGGCUAAAAAUUUGGGUCUGUUUACGAUGGAUAUGCCCAUAGCUUUGGUAAAACCUUAAGAGCCCAAGUUAUUCAAGCCAAGAGUCACACGACUCAAACCCAAAACCAAUUUGGUUCUAAGGUAAUUUCAAGGGUGUUAAUUAAGGUCAAUUAUGGUAUUUUAGUUUGACAUUUUUUCAGAAAUUGCUAGAAACAGACAACUGUCUCAAUGCUGAGUAGGAAGGAUAGGAGUAAUAUCCCAAGAUAUUCAGAAAUUGGAGAGUUGUCCAUUUUCUGAGGUAAGAGGGGUACUAGAAAUCUGACAGCUGCCCAUUUCUAUUAAGGAAAACAUGCAUUUUUCCUGAAUUUAGGGAUGCUGGCAGAUUUCUUUCCAGGUACCCUAACCCUUAUCUAUUUCACUCCCUCACUCUAUAUAAAUACUCUUUGUAUUUGUUAUACAGAGGGAUCUAUAUAUACACCUACACACAUUCAUAUAUACCUAAAUAGAUCUUAACACACACUUAGAGAGUUAGACCUACACACACUGAAAAACACACAGAAAAAUUUCUUAAAAUAUACUGAUUUUUGCAUUAUUUUUGGAGUCUCUUUCCUUUAUUUUUAGCAAAGAAAUCCUACUGGUUUCAUACUUUUACAAGGAUUUCUGGGUUUAAAUCUAGAGCGAAUUUUGGGUUUCUUAUUUGGUAUUCUCGCUGUUGCUUUUUACUCAAGAAUUUAGAGACAUAUUUUCUUUAUCGAUUUGUUUUCUUAUUGCUAUCAAGGUACUUUAUUAACAAUGUAAAAGUUUAAUUUUAGUUAUUGUUAUGAAAGUGUUUUUCAUCAAAUUUAUAUUGGUUUGAAUAUGGUCUUACAUAUAAGUUAAACUGCUGUACAAAUCAUGAUUAGUUAAAGUUCUUUGGUUGGAAGUUAUAUAUAAAUUCAUGUAGGAGUUAGUUGUUUACACUGUUGAGAUUAUUUAAGUUAUAAUAGCUUUGUGUUAAAAAAUUUCUGGAAACUGCAAAAUCAGUUGAAAGCUUUUCAUAUGUAAAUAAGAUCUAUAUUACUAUGUAAUAUCAGAAAUAGAAAACAGUACAAUAACUCAGUAUAAUCCCAUUUAGUAGGAUAUGGGGAGUGUAGUAUGUGCGCAGACAUUACCCCUACCUUGGGGUAGAGAGGCUGUUUUCAAAUAGACUCCCGGCAUACUUCCCUCCAAGAAUUUCCCACCUUGCUCUUGGGGAGACUCGAACUCACAACCUCUCGGUUGGAAGUGGGGUUGCUUACUAUCAGAGCAACCCAUCUAUAAAUAGAAAACAAUAUUUAUAGAAAAAUUGUUAAAAGUAGUAACAGGUAGAUUUGUUAUUACUGUUUCAAUUGUAAUAAUUUAGCACUUUUUUAUAUUUUUUGUACAAUGCUUUAAUUUAAUAUUUUAGUAACUUUAUUGUGUUGUUUAAAGCAAUUAAAUACAGUACUUCCAAUUUGGUAGUUUUAAAUUUUCAUAUUAUUAAAAACUGAAUUUUUGAGCAGACUGAACAGUAGACUUUGGUAUAUUGGUCUAUGGAAUUGUAUUUUUAGAUUCGGUUAAGGGUCAAAUAUAUUAUUGUAUUAUUAAAUAUAGGCUAUAUUUAUUCUCCGUUUGAAUUUUUAUCAAAUAUAUCCCCACCGUUAUACUUUAGGGUCAUAUAUAUCAUUCAGUUGUUAAAAUUUGCUUCCAGAUUUUUUUUUACAAGUGGCAUGUUCUGAUUGGACCAGAUGCUCACGCCAUUCGAUUAAUUAAACCGCUCCGACCCAGAGUAUUAAACCUGCCCUGCCCCGCCCAGCGUGUUGAAUACUUAGCACCAGCAUUAAUAUUCGGUCACUUCCAAUUGUCCCUUUCAUCAGCGAGUUGGAGACAUUAGCACAGAUUCAUGAAGAGGGACUUAGACAGAUCCAUGCUAUCCAACAGCAUAAAGGAAAUCCAGCUGAUAGUCCUCUAGUAAGCCCCCAUAACCUUCCGCCCACUCAUGCACUGUUUCCUACUGCUCCUCCUCCAAUGGCUGUUGAACUGCCCCCUUCCCUGAUACCAAAAGGUGUUGGGUUCCACCCCCAGUCAUGCACUGUUUCCUACUGCUCCUCCGAUGGCUGUUGAACUGCCACCUUCCCUGAUGCCAAAUGGUGUUAGGAUCCACAGCAAUGGGCAUGUAAAUGGUUCCAUCAGGCCCUGGUUCAACCAUUCUUGAAUCUGGGUCAGACUCAUUUUGCACCGUUGACGAUGUGGUUUGUCCUCAUUCUCAAGCCUUGCUCAUCUAUUAGGAGCUGGUAGUAGUUGAAUGUGUACGGGGGUAAUCUUUUUUCCAUUUUCUAGAUCUCUUGGCAUUAUGGCUGGUAGGACUGCUGGAGAAAGGGAAAAGUCAUUAGAAUCCAAUAGCACCAACAGUUGCAGAUGUCACACUCAUUCUGAGUUUUUCUCCUCAAAUCAACUAAAAGAGUUAGAAAGUUUUGUUUACUGCCCCAUCUCAUUCUGCAGAAACUUUCCACAAUCUUUAAAUAUAACUUUCAAGUUACCUCUUCUCUAACAUAUCAAUUGGAAAUGACCGAAUAUAUCGCUGGUGCAAAGUAUUUAAUACGCUGUGUCGGGCGGGUUUAAUACGCUGGGUCGGUGCGGGUUUAAUUAAUCGAAUGGGGCGGGUCAUCUGGUCCAAUCAGAACAUGCCACGUGUUAAAAAAAUCAGGAAGCAAGUUUUAACGGCUGAGGGAUAUAUAUGACCCUAAUGUAUAACAGUGGGCAAAAGGAGGAUAAAUAUGACCUAUUUUUAACAGUACAAGGAUAUAUUUGACCUUUAACCGUUUUAGAUUUUCUACUAAAUAAAAUGAGUUGACGAUUUGAUUAAAGGUCAUCUACACUUUAAAGUUUAAAUACACAAUGAUUUUAAACUCAUCUCUUUAGCAUAGUGUUAACAUAAGGAGUAAAAAACUUAAGGUAGAAAAUUAUCGAAUUGUACCAGAUUUUAAUUCGCAUUCCAGCCCCUUUAGCAUUAUGUAUUUUAAAUGAAAUAUAAACGAAAUGUUUUAAUUACUAUUACAGCAAAUGAACCAAAAUGCCCCGUCUCAAAUUUGUUCAAAAGUAUGUAUUGGGCCGAAGUCAUUUGGACUUAGUUGUUAUUUGGCCCAAAUUAUCUUGGAUCUCAAUUAGUUGUUCAUAAAGUGCGAUUUGGGUGAGAGUUUAUUUGGACUCAAUAAUCAUAAGGCCCAAAUCAUCUUUGACUGAAUUCAGUUAGCUGCUCUAAAACAUGCAUUUGGGCUAGAGUUAUCUAGACUCAAUCAGGCCCAAAUUCCUUUAGAAAUCAAAUUCAUUAGUUGUUCAAGUAAUAAACAAUGCACGUCUUGGGCCAGAGUUCAUUUUUGGCUCAGCCUUUAUCAAGCCCAAAGCCUUUUAAUUGUAGAUUUAUUGGGCAGCUAGUAUGUGAGCUGCCUAAUUAAUUCAAAUAAAUAUUUCACGUAUUGAACUUUUACACCAAGCUAUAUGACAUUGGAUGCUUAGCUUAGAGAUACAAUCAUAACUCUAGGUAUACUUUAAUAUGAACUAAUUAAUACAAUUAUGUACAUGUAUGCGUGAUAUAAUUGUGAUGUCAAAAUAAAUCAAGGUAUACGUUUCCAUGAUCAUGGUCAAACAUCUUAGUAAAUAAUACGCCUUAAUCAAAGGCGCGAUUUUAAAUUACUAUCAUGAUUGAUAUUUUUUCAAAUAAAUUCAAAGUACGUAUUCGUGCGACUUUGACCAAAUAUUUUUUUAAAUAAACUAAGUGUUGGGAAUUGUGCAUACAUACGCGUGAUAUAAUUUUUGACACUGACACAGUAAAACUAAAACGAGUAUAUGUACGCGCAACUCAUCUUAAAUAUGAUUAUUAAGUGAUAAUCCAAGUAUAAAUUGCUAAACAACCGUGCUAAAACUACAAAUCUGGAAAUGCCUAGUACAUUCUCCUGAGUUAACAUUUGGCAGACUUUAAACAAGGUCAAAUUUUUCUCGAUUUGGGAUUUAAAUUCCUAAAAUUACACCUCAACACCACACAAUCUAGAUUGGAAAUUCAACGAGAAACAUAAUUAUUAAAUAAAUUUAACCACAAGUGACUUACCUCAAGAAACCCCUCGAAAAUACUCUCAAAAAUUGCCUAAGUCCAAGCUUUCAAUGUCCAAAAUAAAGAAAAUCAUGGAACCCUCGAAUUUAAGGUUCUGUCCAGCCUUUUCGCUUAUGCAGAAACUUAACAGCACCUGCAGUGUCGCAGAAGCGACAAUCCUUCCGCUUCUACGAUGAACCACUGGCACUGGGCCUUCGCACUCGCGGAUCAUGCUCCGCUCCUACGCAAACACAGGGGCAACCCUCUUUCUAGCUCCUCUGCCGGCCUCCAUUUUUGUGCUUAACCUCUCUGCAUCUGCGACCACGCAGGUGUGGAAAUUCCUUCGCACAUGCGGUCUACCCAAGGCCAGAAUAAUCUAGCUUCUGUGCUACUUCAACCGCAAUUAUGGCAUCGCACCUAAGGCCAAUUUCGUCGCAUGUGCAAUUACAUGAGAAAAAUCCAACUUCAGCAAUGCUCUACGUCUCAUUUUCAAUCCGUAAACCAUCCGAAUCAACCCAAGGCACCAGCCAACACACCAAGACGUAAAACAUGAUACGAACUUAGUCGAGCCUUCAUAUCACAUUAAAUAGAGCUAAAACCAUGAAUCGCGCCCCAAUUCAAGCCUAUGAAAACUAGGGAAAUUCCAACUUCAACAAAUGAUGCUGAAACCUAUCAAAUCACGUCAGAUUAACCUUAAAUUUUGCAUAAAAAUCACAAAUCACACCAUAGACCUGCUUCAACUUCUGAAAGCCCAAUUCCAUCUUGGUAACCACAAAGUCUACUCUUGGUCAAACUUCUAAAUUUCCCAUUUUAACCAUUUCAAGCCUAAUUCAAGUACGAAACUCCAAAUCAUAAUCCAGACAUGCUCCUAUGUCCAAAAUCAUCUAACGAGACCAUCGAAACUCCAAUUUGAAGCUAUUUACACACAAGUCAGCAUCCAGUCAUCAUUUCAACUUAAGCUUCCAACCUUGGAGCUAAGUGUCUUAAUUUAUUUCAAAACCUUUCCAAAACCGAACCAACUACCCUGACAAGAUACGUGAAUACAAUUAAGUAGGGAAUUAGUAGGAAAUAGGGGAAUGGGCUACAACUCUUAAAAUGACGGGCUGGUUCGUUACAUCUUCCCCCUCUUAAAUAAAUAUUUAUCCUUAAACUGGUCUAAAAAUAUACUUGGAGUUUCGAAUAGGCGUGGAUAUUUUCUUUGCAUAUACCGCUCGAUCUCCCAAGUAGCCUCCUCAACUGGUUGACCUCUCCACCACACCUUUACUAGAAUUAUAUCCUUUGACCUCAACUUUAAAGCCUGCCGACUCAAAAUGGCAACCGGCUUUAUGUCAUAUAUCAAAACCAUGCAACUAAACCGUGCUAAAAUCCAAAAUAUGAAACGGAACUAGAUGAGCACUCGACAUACUAGGUGACAAGUCAAACUUGUAAGCCACAUGUCUAAUCCUCUGAAGCACCUCAAAUGGUCCAAUUAUACUGAGGGCUCAACUUGCCCUUCUUCCCGAACCUCAUACCACCCUUCAUGGGUGAAACAUUGAGCAGAACCUUCUCCCCAACCAUUUAAGCAACAUCACGAACCUUUCGAUCAGCGUAACUCUUUUGUCUAGACUGUGUCGUGCGAAUUUAAUCCUGAAUCAGUUUGACCUUGUCCAAA
rnacentral:lncRNA from 1 species